GAUGAACGCUAGCUACAGGCUUAACACAUGCAAGUCGCGGGGUAACAUCUGGUAGAGCUUGCUCUUCCAGGAUGACGACCGGCGCACGGGUGAGUAACGCGUAUCCAACCUGGCCCAUACCACGGGAUAGCCCGUCGAAAGGCGGAUUAAUACCGUAUGCUGUCAUUAAGAUGCAUAUAUUGAUGACGAAAGGACUGGCGGUAUGGGAUGGGGAUGCGUCUGAUUAGGUUGUUGGCGGGGCAACGGCCCACCAAGCCUACGAUCAGUAGGGGUUCUGAGAGGAAGGUCCCCCACAUUGGAACUGAGAUACGGUCCAAACUCCUACGGGAGGCAGCAGUGAGGAAUAUUGGUCAAUGGGCGAGAGCCUGAACCAGCCAAGUAGCGUGCAGGAUGACGGCCCUAUGGGUUGUAAACUGCUUUAUAAGGGAAUAAAGUGAGUCUCGUGAGACUUUUUGCUAUGUACCUUAUGAAUAAGGACCGGCUAAUUCCGU
rnacentral:rRNA from 1 species